rnacentral:rRNA from 1 species
UACAGAGGUGGCAAGCGUUGUUCGGAAUUACUGGGCGUAAAGGGCGCGUAGGCGGUCUUGUCAGUCCCUUGUGAAAUCCCCCGGCUCAACUGGGGAACUGCACGGGAAACAGCAGGGCUUGAGUUCGGGAGAGGGAAGCGGAAUUCCGGGUGUAGCGGUGAAAUGCGUAGAUAUACGGAGGAACACCGGUGGCGAAGGCGGCUUCCUGGACCGAUACUGACGCUGAGGCGCGAAAGCUAGGGGAGCAAACGGG